CUAGGACAAGUACCGUUUGAAGUACUGGAGAAAAGCAGCAAAUGGAAAAAUGAAAAUUUACAUUCUUUUGGGACUUAUGUUCCAUUGAUGGGAGACAGAGAACAAAUCCAAAGGAUAAACUACGAUUAAAUGAAAUUCAUCAGCUAUCUUGAAUUUCCUCACCAGAGCUUCAUGUUUAACAACAAAUAUCUGUAAUGAGAGAUAUUACAGAUCUGCAGGGGACAGAAUCCAGGUAUCCGACUCCACUUUCCAGUUCGGCUACUACACAGCAAGGUGACGAGGCAUGCUGCUUGACUUUUAUGGAUACCAACUCUAACUCAAAAAUAAAAGG